rnacentral:pre_miRNA from 1 species
AACCUUUUGUAUCCGUGAUGAGAUUUUGUCAGCAAUCAGUUCAUUAAGGAUGACGUAACUUCACAAAUACGUGAAGUG